UGCGGAAGGAUCAUUACUGAGUGAGGGCCCUCUGGGUCCAACCUCCCACCCGUGUUUAUUGUACCUUGUUGCUUCGGUGCGCCCGCCUCACGGCCGCCGGGGGGCUUCUGCCCCCGGGUCCGCGCGCACCGGAGACACUAUUGAACUCUGUCUGAAGAUUGCAGUCUGAGCAUAAACUAAAUAAGUUAAAACUUUCAACAACGGAUCUCUUGGUUCCGGCAUCGAUGAAGAACGCAGCGAAAUGCGAUAACUAAUGUGAAUUGCAGAAUUCAGUGAAUCAUCGAGUCUUUGAACGCACAUUGCGCCCCCUGGUAUUCCGGGGGGCAUGCCUGUCCGAGCGUCAUUGCUGCCCUCAAGCACGGCUUGUGUGUUGGGCUCCGUCCCCCCGGGGACGGGUCCGAAAGGCAGCGGCGGCACCGAGUCCGGUCCUCGAGCGUAUGGGGCUUUGUCACCCGCUCUGUAGGCCCGGCCGGCGCCAGCCGACAACCAAUCAUCCUUUUUUCAGGUUGACCUCGGAUCAGGUAGGGAUACCCGCUGAACUUAAGCAUAUCUA
rnacentral:rRNA from 1 species